rnacentral:rRNA from 1 species
UACGUAGGUGGCGAGCGUUGUCCGGAUUUACUGGGCGUAAAGGGCUUGUAGGCGGUCCGUUAAGUCCGAUGUGAAAUCUCCCGGCUCAACUGGGAGAGGUCAUUGGAUACUGGCGGACUAGAGGGGGGUAGAGGAAAGCAGAAUUCCUGGUGUAGCGGUGAAAUGCGUAGAUAUCAGGAGGAAUACCAGUGGCGAAGGCGGCUUUCUGGGCCUACCCUGACGCUGAGGAGCGAAAGCGUGGGGAGCGAUCCGG